CGGCUCUCAUUCGGUGAAGGCUUUUAACAAACAGCCUGGCUCACCCGUGCAGGAGGCUCUGAAGGUCACCUCUUUAUCAUUGACACAGUCACACUUCACUUCAGGACAAAGAGAAAGAUGAAGAUGAAGGUCUGAGGUGUUCAACAGUGGCCAGGACGGGUCUCCGGCACACCAGAGGACGAGAUGAUGCGUAGCGGGAAAUGCAUUCGACUGCAUGGAGGGUCUACAAACACAGCUAAAAAAACAAAAAUGUUUGUUGAGUAUGAGCAAUAUAGUCAGUAUUGUGUAUUAGACGUAGGUCGGAAGCAAGAGGAUGCCAAAGCGCCUGUCCCGCUAAGCCUACGCGAGGCUCACUGUCACGAACCAGAGUGUGUGUUGCAGGCGCAUGAGCGAGCCCUGGGACAGGCUGAAGAGGACAGCUGUGACACCUGCAAGCGUGUUUACAAGCCAACGACCUACGCGGCUGAAAAGCACCCAAAAAAAUAACAUUUGCGUCUAGACAGGGCCACAAAGAGUCAGUAUUGUGUAUUAGACGUAGGUCGGACGCAAGAGGAUGCCAAAGUGCCUGUCCCGCUAAGCCUACGCGAGGCUCACUGUCGCGAACCAGAGCGUGUGUUGCGGGCGCGCGAGCGAGCCCUGGGACAGGCUGAGGAGGACAGCUAUGACUGACACAUGCGAGCGCGUUUGCAAGUCAACGACCUACGCGGAUGAAAAACGCCCAAAUAAACUAACAUUCGCGUCGAACCACAGCGUGUAUUCUGGGCGCACAAUCGAGCCCAGGGACAGGCUCAAGAAGACAGCUGUGACACCUGCGGGCGCGUUUACAAGCCAACGACCUACGCGGCUGAAAAGCGCACAAAUAAACUAACAUUCGCGU